UACGUAGGGGGCAAGCGUUGUCCGGAUUUAUUGGGCGUAAAGAGCGUGUAGGCGGCCAGGUAGGUCUGCUGUGAAAACUCGAGGCUCAACCUCGAGAUGUCGGCGGAAACCAUCUGGCUAGAGUCCGGAAGAGGAGAAUGGAAUUCCCGGUGUAGCGGUGAAAUGCGCAGAUAUCGGGAAGAACACCCGUGGCGAAGGCGGUUCUCUGGGACGGUACUGACGCUGAGACGCGAAAGCGUGGGGAGCAACAGGAUAGAU
rnacentral:rRNA from 1 species